AGGGCGCAUGGCGGAUGCCUUGGCUCUCGGAGGCGAUGAAGGACGUGAUAAGCUGCGAUAAGCUUUGGGGAGGUGCAAAUGACCUUUGAUCCAGAGAUUUCCGAAUGGGACAACCCAAUAUCUUGAAGAGGUAUUAUCCAACGUUGUUGGAGGCUAACGCAGGGAACUGAAACAUCUUAGUACCUGCAGGAAAAGAAAAUAAACAAUGAUUCCCCCAGUAGUGGCGAGCGAACGGGGAACAGCCCAAACCAUCCAUGUUACGGCAUGGGUGGGGUUGUAGGACUACGCCGUUGCAUGAAGACAUCAGAGAAGAACUUUCUGGAAAGAAAGACCAUAGAGCAUGACAGUUGCGUAUUCGAAUGUUGUCGAAGCAUAGUAGUAUCCUGAGUAGCGCGGAGCACGAGGAAUUCUGCGUGAAUCUGCCGGGACCAUCCGGUAAGGCUAAAUACUCCCGAGAGACCGAUAGCGAACCAGUACCGUGAGGGAAAGGUGAAAAGCACUUCGAACAGAAGAGUGAAAUAGUUCCUGAAACCGUGCGCCUACAAGCGGUCGGAGCUCGUUAAUGAGUGACGGCGUGCCUUUUGCAUAAUGAACCUACGAGUUGCCUUUGCCGGCAAGGUUAAGUGUGACGACACACGUAUCCGAAGCGAAAGCGAGUCUGAACAGGGCGUAUAGUCGGCAGUGGCAGACGCGAAACCAAGUGAUCUACCCUUGGCCAGGUUGAAGGCUGGGUAACACCAGCUGGAGGACCGCACCAAUAAGCGUUGAAAAGCUUCUGGAUGAGCUGAGGGUAGGGGUGAAAGGCUAAUCAAACUUGGAGAUAGCUCGUACUCCCCGAAAUGCAUUUAGGUGCAGCCUUGCGGGUUACUGAUGUGAGGUAGAGCGACUGAUAAGAUGCGAGGGCUUCACCGCCUAUCAAGUCUUGACAAACUCCGAAUGCGCAUCAGUUCUACCGCAGGAGUGAGGGCAUGGGUGCUAAGGUCCGUGCCCGAGAGGAGAAGAAUCCGGACCACCUGCUAAGGUCCCGAAAUGACAGCUAAGUUAAACUAACGAAGUCUGACUGCUAAGACAGCUAGGAUGUUGGCUUGGAAGCAGCCAUUCAUUUAAAGAGUGCGUAACAGCUCACUAGUCGAGGAGUCGGGCGUGGAUAAUAAUCGGGUAUCAAGUUGUCUACCGAAGCAGUGGGAUCAUUAAUAUGAUCGGUAGGGGAGCAUUCCAGUCAGCGUCGAAGGCGUACCGUGAGGUAUUCUGGAGCGUCUGGAAAAGCAAAUGUAGGUAUAAGUAACGAUAAAGGGGGCGGGAAACCCCCUCGCCGAAAGACUAAGGUUUCCUGAUCAACGCUAAUCGGAUCAGGGUCAGUCGGGUCCUAAGGCUCAGCCGAACGGCGAUGCCGAUGGCAGAAACGGUUAAUAUUCCGUUACUACCUUCAGGAGUGACGUGGAGACGCAGUAGUGACAGUGCCGCCAUCUGACGGAAUAGAUGGUUGAAGGGUGUAGGAGUCGAUCAUGGCAGGCAAAUCCACCAUGAGAUCCGAACCUGACAGUAUGCCGCGUCCUUCGGGACAAGGCAAUAGUGCGCGUAAGCAUGCUGCCGAGAAAAUCCGCUAAACUUAAUCCUGCAGGUACCCGUACCGCAAACGGACACACGUAGUCGGGAUGAAUAUUCUAAGGCGCUUGAGUGAUUCACGGUUAAGGAACUAGGCAAACUGACCCUGUAACUUCGGGAUAAAGGGUCCCUACCCUUUUAUGGGAGGGCGCAGAGAAUCGGUCCAGGCAACUGUUUAACAAAAACACAGGGCUGUGCCAAAUCGAAAGAUCCAGUAUACAGCCUGACACCUGCCCGGUGCUGGAAGGUUAAGAGGAGAUGUCAUCGAUAAGAGAAGCGUUGAAUUGAAGCCCCAGUAAACGGCGGCCGUAACUAUAACGGUCCUAAGGUAGCGAAAUUCCUUGUCGGGUAAGUUCCGACCUGCACGAAUGGUGUAAUGAUCUGGACGCUGUCUCAACCGUGAGCUCAGUGAAAUUGUAGUAUCGGUGAAGAUGCCGAUUACCCGCGAUGGGACGAAAAGACCCCGUGAACCUUUACUAUAGCUUAUCAUUGAAUCUGGGCACGUGAUGUGUAGGAUAGGUCGGAGGCUUUGAAGCAGGUACGCCAGUAUUUGUGGAGCCGCUGUUGAAAUACGACCCUUUAUUUGUUUGGAUUCUAACCCGUGGAACGGGGACAUUGAUUGGUGGGUAGUUUGACUGGGGUGGUCGCCUCCAAAAGCGUAACGGAGGCUUCUAAAGGUGCCCUCCGGCCGAUUGGUAACCGGCCUUAGAGUGUAAUGGCAUAAGGGCGCUUGACUGGGAGACUAACAAGUCGAUCAGGUAGGAAACUAGAGCAUAGUGAUCCGGUGUUUCCGUAUGGAAGGGACAUCGCUCAAAGGAUAAAAGGUACUCCGGGGAUAACAGGCUGAUCCCUCCCAAGAGCUCAUAUCGACGGAGUGGUUUGGCACCUCGAUGUCGGCUCGUCACAUCCUGGGGCUGGAGAAGGUCCCAAGGGUUGGGCUGUUCGCCCAUUAAAGUGGCACGCGAGCUGGGUUCAGAACGUCGUGAGACAGUUCGGUCUCUAUCUAUCGUGGGCGCAUGAAAUUUGCGUGGCUCUGACACUAGUACGAGAGGACCGUGUUGGACAGACCUCUGGUUUGCCGGUUGUGCCGCCAGGUGCAUUGCCGGGUAUCUAAGUCUGGAUCGGAUAAGUGCUGAAAGCAUCUAAGUACGAAGCC
rnacentral:rRNA from 1 species